AUGUUGUAGUUUUUCUGAUUUUAUUGACUUUAAUUAGUGGUUAUGUAUCAAGAAAAGAUCACCCAUAUCCUUACUGGUUCAGAGCCUUGCAAUCGAUCAACGCUACAACAAUGAGAAACCAGGCUCCGUCCCAAACGCUAUCGAGCGUGAAUGUAAAACCUCCAGACCAGACGAUGCCGGAUAUCAUGGACUCCUUGCAGCGUCUAAUCCGCAUUUGGGACAGAGCCGUGAUCUUCGCCCCGAUGUGUUUCGUCACAGUGUGGGAUAAAAGAUGAAACUCUUGCAGCAGAAAUGUCUGAGA